rnacentral:rRNA from 1 species
UACGAAGGGGGCUAGCGUUGCUCGGAAUUACUGGGCGUAAAGCGCACGUAGGCGGGUUCUUAAGUCGGUGGUGAAACCCUGGAGCUCAACUCCAGAACUGCCUUCGAAACUGGGAAUCUUGAGUCCGGGAGAGGUGAGUGGAACUGCGAGUGUAGAGGUGAAAUUCGUAGAUAUUCGCAAGAACACCAGUGGCGAAGGCGGCUCACUGGCCCGGUACUGACGCUGAGGUGCGAAAGCGUGGGGAGCAAACAGG